rnacentral:rRNA from 1 species
AUACAGAGGGUGCAAGCGUUAAUCGGAUUUACUGGGCGUAAAGCGCGCGUAGGUGGCUAAUUAAGUCAAAUGUGAAAUCCCCGAGCUUAACUUGGGAAUUGCAUUCGAUACUGGUUAGCUAGAGUAUGGGAGAGGAUGGUAGAAUUCCAGGUGUAGCGGUGAAAUGCGUAGAGAUCUGGAGGAAUACCGAUGGCGAAGGCAGCCAUCUGGCCUAAUACUGACACUGAGGUGCGAAAGCAUGGGGAGCAAACAGGAUUAGAUACCCUGGUAGUCCAUGCCGUAAACGAUGUCUACUAGCCGUUGGGGCCCUUGAGGCUUUAGUGGCGCAGCUAACGCGAUAAGUAGACCGCCCGGGGAGUACGGUCGCAAGACUAAAACUCAAAUGAAUUGACGGGG